rnacentral:rRNA from 1 species
UACACGAAGAACCUUACCUGGGUUUGACAUAUAGGUUGUAGGGAACUGAAAAGGGACCGACCCUUCGGGGAGCCUAUACAGGUGUUGCAUGGCUGUCGUCAGCUCGUGUCGUGAGAUGUUCGGUUAAGUCCGCUAACGAGCGCAACCCUCGUCGUAUGUUAUAUGUGUCAUACGAGACUGACGGUAAAAGCGGAGGAAGGUGAGGAUGAUGUCAAGUCAGCAUGUACCUUUAUAUCCGAGGGCUACACACACGCUAACAAUGGUCUGUACAAUGGGUAGCCAAGCCGCGAGGCGGAGCCAAUCCUGAAAGCAGGCCUCAGUUCAGAUUGCAGUCUGCAACUCGACUGCAUGAAGCCGGAGUUGCUAGUAACCGCAGGUCAGCAAUACUGCGGUGAAUACGUUCCCGGGUCUU